UACAGAGGGUGCGAGCGUUGUCCGGAAUCACUGGGCGUAAAGGGCGCGUAGGUGGCCUGGUAAGUAGGGGGUGAAAUCUCGCGGCUCAACUGCGAGGCUGCCUCCUAAACUGUCAGGCUCGAGCAGAGUAGAGGCAGGUGGAAUUCCCGGUGUAGUGGUGAAAUGCGUAGAUAUUGGGAGGAACACCAGUGGCGAAGGCGGCUACCUGGACCGGUUCUGACGCUGAUGCGCGAAAGCGUGGGUAGCAAACAGG
rnacentral:rRNA from 1 species